rnacentral:rRNA from 1 species
GACGAACGCUGGCGGCGUGCUUAACACAUGCAAGUCGAACGGAAAGGCCUUUUCGGAGGUACUCGAGUGGCGAACGGGUGAGUAACACGUGGGUGAUCUGCCCUGCACUCUGGGAUAAGCCUGGGAAACUGGGUCUAAUACCGGAUAGGACCGCACUUUAGUGUGUGUGGUGGAAAGUUUUUUCGGUGUAGGAUGAGCCCGCGGCCUAUCAGCUUGUUGGUGGGGUAAUGGCCUACCAAGGCGGCGACGGGUAGCCGGACUGAGAGGUUGGUCGGCCACAUUGGGACUGAGAUACGGCCCAGACUCCUACGGGAGGCAGCGGUGGGGAAUAUUGCACAAUGGGCGCAAGCCUGAUGCAGCGACGCCGCGUGGGGGAUGACGGCCUUCGGGUUGUAAACUCCUUUCGCCAGGGACGAAGCGUUUUGUGACGGUACCUGGAGAAGAAGCACCGGCUAACUACGUG